ensembl:ncRNA K11C4.7 ncRNA
AAAUAAGUUCCAAAAGUACAAAAUGGUCUCUAAGACACGAAAUUUUUUUAUCACCAGUUGUAUGUCUGAGUGAGCUAGGUGAAUCGUCAUCGAGGCCAGCAAGCGCAGUCGAACAAUCGGCCUCGCAAGCGCUAGGCGCAGCGAU